CGGGAAGUAGUUCAGUCCGGUAGAAUGCCUGGUUUGGGACCAGGUGGUCGCAGGUUCGAAUCCUGUCUUCCCGACCA
rnacentral:tRNA from 1 species